UACUUCAGUUCCUCCGCCCGCGCCCGCCCCGCCCGGCCCCUUCCCACCCUUGCGCCCGGGGGUCUGCGGAGUGCGCAGACGCGGUGGGCGCGGGCCUCCCCAGGCCCCUGUCGUCGUCUGACUCCUUCGGGCGUGGGCCGGGGGCUGGCGGCCGGGACCCCCGGCUCUGGGCCUCCCACUUUGGGCCUCAGUUUCCACAUCCACAAACCGGGGAGAUCCCUUUCUGGAGGCCGAGUGAGCGGGCUCCUCCGCAAAGCAAAGAGAACUCCGAGCCUCGGACUCUUCCCGUCUGAAAUCCGUGGGAACACCAGCUCCAACAGAUCUUUCUGUCCUUUCUUGGAAACGAGAUUCCAGGGAUGUUCUUCCAAAGGGAACCUUAGAUUUUGUGGUGGAACCUGUGUCCAGGUAGGAAGCCUACACACAGGUAAGUGAAAACGGCUCUCGGAACAAUUCAUCAUAAAGUAAAAUAUCAGCAUUCCACACGACGGUGCGUAUGAGUUUUGCACGUUCCCAGUAGAGGAUAUGUUUGCAAAAGGCGAGCGUUAUUUCCUUGGAACCUCAGGCAAUUAGAAUGAGAAGCAGUGAGAGCU